CAGCCGCGUAAUUCCAGCUCCAAUAGCGUAUAUUAAAGUUGUUGCAGUUAAAAAGCUCGUAGUUGAAUUUCGGGAUUGACACAUCGGUCGUGCCUUAAGGGGUAUGAACUGGUGUAGUCAAUUUCUCACCUUCUGGAGAACCGCAAUGCCCUUAAUUGGGUGUCGCGGGGAACCAGGACCUUUACUUUGAAAAAAUUAGAGUGUUUAAAGCAGGCAUUUUGCUUGAAUACAUUAGCAUGGAAUAAUAAAAUAGGACGGAUGAUUCUAUUUUGUUGGUUUCUAGGACCACCGUAAUGAUUAAUAGGGAUAGUUGGGGGCAUUAGUAUUCAAUUGUCAGAGGUGAAAUUCUUGGAUUUAUUGAAGACUAACUACUGCGAAAGCAUUUGCCAAGGAUGUUUUCAUUAAUCAAGAACGAAAGUUAGGGGAUCGAAGACGAUCAGAUACCGUCAUAGUCUUAACCAUAAACUAUGCCGACUAGGAAUCAGACGAUGUUAAUUUUUUAAUGACUCGUUUGGCACCUUACG
rnacentral:misc_RNA from 1 species